GAGGGUAUAGCUCAGUGGUAGAGUGCAUGCAUGGCAUGCAUGAGGUCCUGGGUUCAAUCCCCAGUACCUCCA
rnacentral:tRNA from 1 species